rnacentral:tRNA from 1 species
AAGAUGGCUGAGUUUUAGGCGGUAGAUUGUAAAUUUACUUACAAGGGUUAAACCUUUCUUAUUA